rnacentral:rRNA from 1 species
UACGAAGGGGGCUAGCGUUGCUCGGAAUUACUGGGCGUAAAGCGCACGUAGUCGGCUUUGCAAGUCGGUUGUGAAAUCCCCGGGCUCAACCUGGGAACUGCAUCCGAGACUGCAUUGCUAGAGUAUGGGAGAGGAAAGCGGAAUUUCUGGUGUAGCAGUGAAAUGCGUAGAUAUCAGAAGGAACAUCAGUGGCGAAGGCGGCUUUCUGGACCAAUACUGACGAUCAGGUGCGAAAGCGUGGGGAGCAAACAGG